rnacentral:rRNA from 1 species
CGCUAUCACUCCUACGGGAGGCAGCAGUGGGGAAUAUUGCACAAUGGGCGCAAGCCUGAUGCAGCCAUGCCGCGUGUGUGAAGAAGGCCUUCGGGUUGUAAAGCACUUUCAGUAAGGAGGAAAGGUUAAGUGUUAAUAGCACUUAGCUGUGACGUUACUUACAGAAGAAGCACCGGCUAACUCCGUGCCAGCAGCCGCGGUAAUACGGAGGGUGCGAGCGUUAAUCGGAAUUACUGGGCGUAAAGCGUACGCAGGCGGUUUGUUAAGCGAGAUGUGAAAGCCCCCGGGCUCAACCUGGGAACUGCAUUUCGAACUGGCAAACUAGAGUGUGAUAGAGGGUGGUAGAAUUUCAGGUGUAGCGGUGAAAUGCGUAGAGAUCUGAAGGAAUACCGAUGGCGAAGGCAGCCACCUGGGUCAACACUGACGCUCAUGUACGAAAGCGUGGGGAGCAAACAGGAUUAGAUACCCUGGUAG